rnacentral:tRNA from 1 species
GCCCCUAUAGCUCAACUGGGUAGAGCAACGGACUUUUAAUCUGUGGGUUCAGAGUUCAAGUCUCUGUGGGGGCA